GGAUAAGCUUAUGUUAGUUACAUUUUUGCCAAUAUUAUUUACAAUUUAUACUUAUUUCUGCUAUUACAAACAGGAUGAUUUACAGUGUUAAUUCUGUUUAUAAAUGCUUUAGUGUGAGUGGGUUGUUGUAUGGGUGCACAAUAUGUAACCAAAAUGCUAUUUUAAUGAGUUUAUGACAGUCACAACAUGAAGCUAAGACACAAAUGGUCUGUCUGCUGCAGGGACCAUUAAAUCACAUUUAACUACAUAUCACACACAGCACCACUAAAGGGAGAGAGAGGGAGUAAAACAUCUGUUCAUGCUGUUAUAGAAAUGUAAAUGGAGUAAAACAAUCUGGAGCACAAAGCCUCCGCGCUGCUGCGGAUGAAGAAAGACUUCAGAUUAAUAACAGACGAAGAGUAGCAGAAACUCAGAGAAACACACUGCUGCCUGAUGUACUGUGUACCAUAUCUACAUCCAUCCACACAACGACCACCAGCAGUGUGUAACAGCUGUAUCUCCCCCAGCUCCUCCUCCCCCACUGACCCAGAUCAGUGCUGAUGGAGAUGAACCCUCAGCCUCAGACCAGUCAAGUCACGUGGACUGGAAAACGCAGAGCAGCUCUUCACUGUAAAUGUGAAAUAAUCUCCAAAAGUUUAUUUACUAUAACCAGCCAAAUGGAUACACUUCUCUUGACAUGGUCACAAUUAUGGACAAUUAUGUGCAAAAAAUAUUUUAUUUAAGUACUUUUAAAAAAAUAAAAGCCGUAGUUUAGUUUGUACCAUUGUGUUAUAGUUGAAACAAAUAAAAUAAUAAAUUACUGCUAGGGAUAUGUUGAUAAUCUGUUAACAGUUUAUGACAUUUCAUCUGUCCUUUCAUUCUCAACAUCUAAUAGUGUUCACAGAUUUUAAUUUUGCUUCUGGAUUUCCCCUGUAACACAAUUCAUUCUCAAAUGAAUUUACCUUGAGGCAAGUCUUACAAAUCGUUUUAUAUGACCAUUAAUUAUUUUUCUUUAAAACAAAGCAUAUUCGAUAUAUUUUGGUUGAUUAGAAAUAAAAUAUAUUGCUCUUGAAUUUUGUUUUUAGCAUAAAGCAUACGAAUCAAGUCUCGAUGUCGCCAUGGAGCGUCGUUAAUCCCUCCGGAACACAAGGUAGCGCUAAUGCGCCAGUUAAAAAAAAAAGACCCAAAUAAAAACCGCGAACAUUGUGGAAAAAUUUCAAUUUUCUUCGGCAAGAAGUCACCGGUGCAAACUCUGGAAAAUUCAACACUGAAUUUAAGAGAAUCACCACUUCAAUCCAAGUUCCUGUCUCAGCUGGACCUUCACUCAGAUUAUCUGACAAGGCUCUCCUACAGGAGAGGAGGAGGUGGUCAAAAGAAUGACCACACAUAUCCCUAAAUGUGAUGAUGUACUGUAGAUGCUGGACGAGUGUGCAUCAUUAAAGGGGUCUGCGUGUACAUGGGCAAAGACCCAGAUUACCUUCUACAGGUAUAUGUGGUAGGUAUGCUCGACUUCCACUCUUCUCAUUUUCUAAUUUAUGAUUAUUUGUGAUAUAAAUUGAGUAAAACAAUAUGUAUUAUAAUUUUCAUUAUAUAUUUUUUUUUACUGUUUCUUAAGUGGGGCCCUUGAGCAAGACAUGCUUUUGUUAUUCAAAUAUACUGUAUAUGUUGUAUAAAAGAAGUGAUGAGGUAGAAAAGCAUGCGGUGUUCUUACCUGUAGAUCUUUGAAGCAAAAUAGUCUUGAUGACAUUAAAGAAUUUUCUCAAAAUUUAGAACAGUGCCAGGUCCGAACUCCAAUCUGACAAAACCAAAAAUGAUGAGAACAUUCUGAGGGUGGUGCUCUAAUAUUUCUGACAACUCCCAGACACAGAGAGCACAGUUAUACUGUUGCAACAAUAGUGGUCCAGACUGUCGACCCAACGACCCUGUACAAACGGACCGCCUACCAGGGUGUCUUACUCACACAUACACACACAAAGCUAUUGAUUGUCCAAGCCAGAGCUAAUAGUCAGCCUUUACUUUUAGCUCCAUCAGCUAAACCAAUGAUCUGGAACCUUCAGGUUUUGUGAGUGUGUGGAUGUUCAGCAUGUUACAUUACAGAUCAUCAAUGACAUUAGCCCAAAAUUAGUCAAAAUAAUCCUAAUGUAGGUUGCUGUUUACAUAAAAAUAAACUAACAUUAAAUUUGUUAAAUUUUUUUAUAUACUAUAUAUUUGGUCCAUACAGACAAUAAGGGGUUUUGAUAAUACAUACUGGUAACAAUGAACUUUUACUCAAGUGCCUAAAUACUCUGUCAUUGUUGCAAAGAUUAGGUGCGUGCAUGGAGCACGCAGUAUGACAACAGCAGAAAAAGCCAAGCCAUUUAUUUCCUGGUCCGUUUUUAGGGUGAGCUCCUUGGUGCACUACCUGCCACUCUACUGAUAAAAUGUUUAAUCUGAUUAAUCACAGGGUAGCAGUGUCUUAAUCAUGAUUAAUCAUAAUUAAUUCUGACUGCAGAGAAUCAUGAUUAAUCAUUAAUCAAAAAAAAUAAUCUUCUAAAAUGACAAAUAGUAUAAUAUUAAAGAGCAAUAUAAUAACUAUACUGCAGGAAUGUUGAUUAUAUUCCAUAAAGCGUGCACAUGGUUUCAUGAAAUACUAAUUGUAAAAAAUACUCUGCAGAAUUUGAAUGUCAAUAUGUAAGUUUUUUUAUUUAUUGUAAAAUUAAUAUCGUUAACUGUUUUCAUGUAGGAGAAGGUGUUAGAAUGAAGCCUCUCUAGGGUAAACCAUGUUUGAGCAGCGAUCAGAGGCACAUUUGCAAUUGGAAAAACAUAGAUAUACAAACAAAGAAAUCAUUCUGCUUCCAGGGUAGUUAAGGUCUUUAAAUAUGGCCUGCAGUGAAAAAAACCCCAAACCAAUUAGCAUUGGUUUUAUGUUCACAUAAACCCAUGACCUGACAUUAGAGUUUAAUUGCACUGUCAAUGUGAUUUGUUUCAUUAGUGGAUUAAAAGCAGAUAAUUCAAAAAAGCACAAGAGACAACAGAGGCAAUUUGACCACAUUUAA